CCUACGGUGGGCUGCAGUGGGGAAUAUUGGACAAUGGGCGAAAGCCUGAUCCAGCCAUGCCGCGUGUUUGAAGAAGGCCUUCGGGUUGUAAAGCACUUUCAGUGGGGAAGAAAGCCUUGGGGCUAAUACCCUCGAGGAAGGACAUCACCCACAGAGGAAGCACCGGCUAACUCCGUGCCAGCAGCCGCGGUAAUACGGAGGGUGCGAGCGUUAAUCGGAAUUACUGGGCGUAAAGCGCGCGUAGGCGGUCUGAUAAGCCGGUUGUGAAAGCCCCGGGCUCAACCUGGGAACGGCAUCCGGAACUGUCAGGCUAGAGUGCAGGAGAGGAAGGUAGAAUUCCCGGUGUAGCGGUGAAAUGCGUAGAGAUCGGGAGGAAUACCAGUGGCGAAGGCGGCCUUCUGGACUGACACUGACGCUGAGGUGCGAAAGCGUGGGUAGCAAACAGGAUUAGAUACCCGAGUAGUC
rnacentral:rRNA from 1 species